GUGUGUGGGAGUUUUAAGGAAUUCCAUAUUUUAGUCAAUGGUGGCUUGGGCUAUAAGAUGGCUAUGAAGUAUAGUUACUGGUGGUGACUGUCUCUGUCUCUGUCUCUGUCUCUGUCUCUGUCUCUGUCUCUCUCUCUCUCUCUCUCUCUCUCUCUCUCUCUCUCUCUCUCUCUCUCUGUCUCUGUCUCUGUCUCUGUCUCUCUCUCUCUGUCUCUCUCACUCUCUCUCAAUCUCUCGCUCUCUCUCUCUCUAGAAAUGCCUGCUCCAGGUGUCGUUCCGGCCCCGCCUGUCAGACCAGCAGAUCAGGGAGGAGGCGGCUCGCAUCGCCCACCGAGCCGUUCUCCUCCGCAGGCAGGAGCUGGAGAGGAGCCGGGCGGAGAAAGCAUCGGGGCCCCAGGAGCUCCCAGCAGGUAAGAAUGGUAAGAAUGGGCCACGGCCCUCAGCCAAAGCGGCUACCAGUGCUAAGACAAAAGUCAAGCAGAGUCCAAUCCCCGAACCCGAAGACCUUGCAUCACCCAGGCCUGAAGACAUACAAGAGGGGUCUGAGGCCUACGAGGCCGGCCGGGCGGCGCUGCUCUACUCCUUCCCCGGCCGCCUGCGACGCUACGUGGUCCCGUGCUUCGUGUCGGACGGAGACCUCCCCGCGGACGACCCCCAGGCCCAGGCGGCGUGGAGGUAACGCCGUGCCGCGGGACGCCCACCCUCUGGACUGGACACACACCAGUAUCACCUUAGAGUCUGA
rnacentral:lncRNA from 1 species